AACGAACGCUGGCGGCAUGCCUAACACAUGCAAGUCGAACGAGACCUUCGGGCCUAGUGGCGCACGGCUGCGUACGGCGUGGGGAGCUGCCCGUAGGUAAGGAAUCCCUCCCCGAAAGGGAUGCUAAUAACAGUGAAUGUCUUCGGACCUAAGAGUUAUCGCCUUUGGGUGGGGCCGCGUUGGGUUAGGUGGUUGGUAGUGUAAAAGCAUGCCAAGGCGUGGAUCCAUAGCUGGUCGGAGAGGAGGAUCAGCCACGCUGGGACUGAGACACGGCCCAGACUCGGACGGGAGGGAGCAGUGGGUAAUACUGGGCGAGGGGCGAAGGCCUGACCCAGCAAUGCGGCGGGAGUGAGGAAGGCGUUAGUGUUGUAAAGCUCUUUUACCCGGGAUGAGAAUGACAGUACCGGGAGAAUAAGCACCGGCUAACUCCGUG
rnacentral:rRNA from 1 species